UUUUUCGGCUGCUAAUUUAUAAACUUCCUGAAACAGUUCUGGUGGAAAAUCAACCUCAGAAGAAUCUAAACCUACACCUGCAACAAUUCCAUUCUCAAAGUCGUUUCUUUUAAGGGCCUCCGCAAAAGUUUCAUGGGCUGCUUCAGAAGGCAAGUGACGCAGAAAGCACAUAAUAAGAUUAGUAGACAUUCCAAAGUCUCUAUUUGCGCGCUCACAAGCUGCUGAAAAUCCACUAACUACAACAUCGUAAGAAAUCCCUCGGCUCGUAUGUGUUUGGGGAUCGAAAAAGACCUCAGCAUGAUGAACUCCUUGUGAAUGAGCGAUAGAAAAAUAUUCAUAGGCGAGUGCUUCAAAAUCAGAGGCCUCAAUCAACACAGACACAGCAAUGUAAUAAUAGCGUAAGAAGUCAUCUAAGCAUCCAAAAUGCUCAUAGCUGGCUAACAAAGUACUCGGAGUCGUGUACGCAGCAUCAUCACUAGGAAGAGUUAUCCCGUUUUUCUUAGCUAAACGAAAUACCAAAUCUGGAGAAAGACAACCUUCUAAAUGCACAUGAUGCUCGCAUUUUGGCAGCUUUCUAAUGAAAUUGUAAAUAGGUAGAUUGCUCAUUGUAUACCUGCUUAUAAAAAGUGAAUGAUUUGAGUUAAAUUAGCCCGUUAUAUAUAUACAUUUAUUAUUUUUUUUUUCAACUAAUAAAAAAAGUUU